CACGUGGGGAACCUGCCCCAUAGUCUGGGAUACCACUUGGAAACAGGUGCUAAUACCGGAUAAGAAAGCGGAUCGCAUGAUCAGCUUUUAAAAGGCGGCGUAAGCUGUCGCUAUGGGAUGGCCCCGCGGUGCAUUAGCUAGUUGGUAAGGUAAAGGCUUACCAAGGCGAUGAUGCAUAGCCGAGUUGAGAGACUGAUCGGCCACAUUGGGACUGAGACACGGCCCAAACUCCUACGGGAGGCAGCAGCU
rnacentral:rRNA from 1 species